rnacentral:tRNA from 1 species
AGCAGUGUGGCGCAGUGAAAGCGUGCUGGGCCCAUAACCUAGAGGUUGAUGGAUCAAAGUCAUCCUUUGCAA